ACAAAUAAUAUGGUUAGUAUAAGUAUUCAAACACAACUCAUGUCUUGUUUUGUGGUGUUUUGAAUGAUUUCAUGUCAAUGCUAAUAUGGCUGAAAUUCACUAGCUAGCUAACCAACAACUGUAACGAUGUAUUUGAGACAACAAGUGCUCAAUGUGCAAAUGUAUUUAUGUUCUCAAUAAACAUUUGAAGACAAAAUAUAGCUUACACGUUGUCAACAAUCUAAGCCAACCCUAUAUGUUUUGCCCCAUAGUUAUGCACGCAUUGGUUUUGUUGCGAAACAACCAACCCUUCUAUGCACAGAGGGGGAUUUUCCCGCACUGAAAUCUGGAAGUGACAUACUUCCUUCUCCAUGAAUGAUGCCACGUGAUAGAAUAUAGACGCCAGUGGAGUAACAAAACAAACACAGAAAUAAAUCUAAACUUUAAUCGGAGCUGGACAAGUACAAGUUGGGACGUCACAAUCUGCAUUUUGAUGUAGAACUUCCCUUGUAGCAGUGGCACAACAACUUCAACUUUGCCUUCUAUCCCAUCAGCUUUCAAAAGUUCAGUUCUUGUAUGAAGGUCAAUGAGAGCGUGUUGAAUUUGGUUAGCAAAAAAUGUAAUGGCUUAUUUGCUACGUGUUGCGUAUUUGAUCAAAUAGAAGUUUAUUAAUGAUUAAGUUGUUACAAGUGUACUGAUUUAAGUAGGACACCUCACGUCCCGGCAACUUUGGGAAAAAAACACUUGAUAUAUGAGUUGAGCCUUGUCGUCACUAGUUAUCACAAAGUCAUAAACCUCGCCUUAUAUAAUUUAGAUUUGUGGCUGUGGUAGCUAGGGGAAACCGUUGUGCCUGUUGUUUACACGGGUAUCUGCCCUCUCAUUGGCUAGAAUGGUCCCACCUGAUCUUGCCUCCUCCCGACUGCCUUCUAUUUUUAAGACAUUUCUUUUCAUUCUUAGAAUGGUCACUAGAGUAUCUGGUCAAUAUACUGGAUAAAGUAUUGAAGAUGAUGCCGGAGGCCCGGUACCACCAGUGCCGGCACCAAGCCUACAGUUCGCCACGGCAGUCCGGAACCUCCAGCGACGGGCCACUGUCCGGAACCUCCAGCGACGGGCCACAGCCCGGAACCUCCAGCGACGGGCCACAGCCCGGAACCUCCAGCGACGGGCCACGGGUCAGUGCCACAAGAGCGGACUCAUUGUAAUGAAGGGGGGCGGCGUCCAGAACCAGAGCCGCCCCCUAGGUUAGAUGCCCACCCAGACCCUCCCAUAUUGGUUUAGGUUUGCGUCCGGGAGUCCGCAUCUUUGGGGUGUUUGUUUAGUUUUUGUAUGUCUAGGGGUUUUGGUAUGUCUAGGGGUUUAUAUGUCUAUGGUUUCCUAGAUUGGUUCUCAAUCCGAGGCAUCUGUUUAUCGUUGUCUCUGAUUGGGGACUAUAUUUAGGUAGCCAUAUUCCUUGGGUAUUUUGUGGGUUUUUAUUCUAUGUUUAGUUGCCUGUUUGCACUAGUCAUAUAGCUUCACAGUUCUUUUUGUAUUUGUUUUGUUUAGUGUUCGUUCUUCCAUUAAAAGAUGUACGCUUACCACGCAGCGCCUUGGUCUCCUCACGAUGAUGAACGUGACAAUUUCACGGGAAUUAGACACAGGUCCUGGUGCAGCCCAACCUCCAGCCUCAGCCCAACCUCCAGUUAAAGGCCCAGACCCAGCACCACUCCCAUCUCCAAGCCCAGCUCCACUCCCAUCUCCAUGUCCAGCUCCACUCCCAUCUCCAUGUCUAGCACUAGGCCCAGCACCACCCCCAGCUGCAAACAGAUAUUCUAAAAUAAUCAGCAGACACAUUGGCCCAUAAAAAACAAUAACAAGUGGUGGAAGGCCAUAUAUACAGUGGGGCAAAAAAGUAUUUAGUCAGCCACCAAUUGUGCAAGUUCUCCCACUUAAAAAGAUGAGA